GCAUAUCAAUAAGCGGAGGAAAAGAAACUAACAAGGAUUCCCCUAGUAGCGGCGAGCGAAGCGGGAAAAGCUCAAAUUUGUAAUCUGGCGUCUACGACGUCCGAGUUGUAAUCUCGAGAAGUGUUUUCCGUGAUAGACCGCAUACAAGUCUCUUGGAACAGAGCGUCAUAGUGGUGAGAACCCAGUACACGAUGCGGAUGCCUAUUACUUUGUGAUACACUUUCGAAGAGUCGAGUUGUUUGGGAAUGCAGCUCAAAUUGGGUGGUAAAUUCCAUCUAAAGCUAAAUAUUGGCGAGAGACCGAUAGCGAACAAGUACCGUGAGGGAAAGAUGAAAAGCACUUUGGAAAGAGAGUUAACAGUACGUGAAAUUGUUGGAAGGGAAACACAUGCAGCCAGACUUGCUAUUCGGGGCAACUCGAUUGGCAGGCCCGCAUCAGUUUUUCGGGGCGGAAAAGCAUAGAGAGAAGGUAGCAAUUUCGGUUGUGUUAUAGCUCUUUAUUGGAUUCGCCCUGGGGGACUGAGGAACGCAGCGUGCUUUUAGCAUAAGCUUCGGCUUAUCCACGCUUAGGAUGCGGGUGUAAUGGCUGUAUAUGACCCGUCUUGAAACACGGACCAAGGAGUCUAACAUGCUUGCGAGUAUUUGGGUGUCAAACCCGGAUGCGCAAUGAAAGUGAAUGGAGGUGGGAAGCGCAAGCUGCACCAUCGACCGAUCUGGAUCUUUUGAGAUGGAUUUGAGUAAGAGCAAGUAUGUUGGGACCCGAAAGAUGGUGAACUAUGCCUGAAUAGGGCGAAGCCAGAGGAAACUCUGGUGGAGGCUCGUAGCGGUUCUGACGUGCAAAUCGAUCGUCAAAUUUGGGUAUAGGGGCGAAAGACUAAUCGAACCAUCUAGUAGCUGG
rnacentral:rRNA from 1 species